rnacentral:rRNA from 1 species
GAUGAACGCUAGCGGGAGGCUUAACACAUGCAAGUCGAGGGGCAGCAUAGGGUAGCAAUACUCUGAUGGCGACCGGCAAACGGGUGAGUAACGCGUAUGCAACCUACCCUGUACAGGGGGAUAACCCGGAGAAAUUCGGACUAAUAUCCCGUAAUAAUAUCCGGAGGCAUCUUUGGAUAUUUAAAGUUCCGACGGUACGGGAUGGGCAUGCGUAACAUUAGCUGGUUGGUAAGGUAACGGCUUACCAAGGCUAUGAUGUUUAGGGGUCCUGAGAGGGUGGUCCCCCACACUGGUACUGAGACACGGACCAGACUCCUACGGGAGGCAGCAGUGAGGAAUAUUGGUCAAUGGGCGCAAGCCUGAACCAGCCAUCCCGCGUGCAGGAAGACGGCCCUAUGGGUUGUAAAACUGCUUUUCCGGGGAGAGAAACUUACGCACGUGUUGCGUGACUGACGGUACCCUGGGAAUAAGCAUCGGCUAACUCCGUG